CAAUACGUCAGCGGCAGACGGGUGAGUAACGCGUGGGAACGUACCUUUUGGUUCGGAACAACACAGGGAAACUUGUGCUAAUACCGGAUAAGCCCUUACGGGGAAAGAUUUAUCGCCGAAAGAUCGGCCCGCGUCUGAUUAGCUAGUUGGUGAGGUAACGGCUCACCAAGGCGACGAUCAGUAGCUGGCCUGAGAGGAUGAUCAGCCACAUUGGGACUGAGACACGGCCCAA
rnacentral:rRNA from 1 species